AGUUUGAUCCGUGGCUCAGAACGAACGCUGGCGGCAGGCCUAACACAUGCAAGUCGAGCGCGCCCUUCGGGGUGAGCGGCGGACGGGUGAGUAACGCGUGGGAACGUGCCCUUUUCUACGGAAUAGUCUCGGGAAACUGGGGGUAAUACCGUAUACGCCCUUCGGGGGAAAGAUUUAUCGGAGAAGGAUCGGCCCGCGUUGGAUUAGGUAGUUGGUGGGGUAAUGGCCUACCAAGCCGACGAUCCAUAGCUGGUCUGAGAGGAUGGUCAGCCACACUGGGACUGAGAUACGGCCCAGACUCCUACGGGAGGCAGCAGUCGAGAGGCUUCGGCAAUGGGGGAAACCCUGACCGAGCGACGCCGCGUGGGCGAUGAAGGUUUUCGGAUUGUAAACCCCUUUCAUGAGGAAAGAUAAAGUGGGUAACCACUUAGGCGGUACCUCAAGAAGAAGCCACGGCUAACUUCGUG
rnacentral:rRNA from 1 species